AGCGGAGGCCCCGCCCCUCUGCGACGGCCAUCUUGGGGAGGUCGCCAUGGUCACCCUGGGCGCUGGGCCUUCCUGGCGUCGUGCCAGUGCUGCCGGAGAACCUUCAAAGACGUGUCGCCUGGUCCGCUGCUGCCCCCGCCCUAGCGGGACCCUCUGGAAGCAAAAUAGGCGGCCUGCUCCCUUUCAAAAUGCCUCUCAUUCCCCAUCCCCGCCGUGGGAAGAGCUGUGACCCAGGAUUUCCGUGCGCAGGGACCAGGAUGAGAAGCAGCGAAGGCGGGGGACCUCGCUUUUGUAUCUCAGACAUUCUUGUGAGGAACCGCGAAGAGAUGUACAAGGCUCGGCAAGCUUCAGUGUAUGCUUCCAAAGUCCGGUGUAGCUUGGACCUGCAGCCGGCCUCGCUUGGGGCUGAAGCCACCUGCAGCCAGUGCUACCUUGUCAGCCCCUUUGUGCAGCUCCGGGCAACGUGAUGAUGGGAAACGGGAUGAGGAGCUAGACAACAGGGACUAAACCAACCAGAGAAAAGGCUGUGUGAGGACAAAGCAAGGCAGCCGACUGUAAUCCAGGAAGACAGGCUUCACCAGAAACCAAUCCUGCCGGCACCUUGAUCUUGGACUUCGAGCUUCUAUAACUUGAGAAAAUAAAUUUCUGUUGUUUAA